rnacentral:rRNA from 1 species
AACGAACGCUGGCGGCAGGCUUAACACAUGCAAGUCGAACGGGCCCUUCGGGGUCAGUGGCAGACGGGUGAGUAACGCGUGGGAACGUGCCCUUCAGUUCGGAAUAACCCAGGGAAACUUGGGCUAAUACCGGAUACGUGCGAGAGCAGAAAGAUUUAUCGCUGAAGGAUCGGCCCGCGUCUGAUUAGCUAGUUGGUGAGGUAAUGGCUCACCAAGGCGACGAUCAGUAGCUGGUCUGAGAGGAUGAUCAGCCACAUUGGGACUGAGACACGGCCCAAGCUCCUACGGGAGGCAGCAGUGGGGAAUAUUGGACAAUGGGCGCAAGCCUGAUCCAGCCAUGCCGCGUGAGUGAUGACGGCCUUAGGGUUGUAAAGCUCUUUCAGUGGGGACGAUAAUGACGGUACCCGCAGAAGAAGCCCCGGCUAACUUCGUGCCAGCCGCCGCCGUAACAC